rnacentral:rRNA from 1 species
CCCAACCCUAUGUGAACUUACCACUUGUUGCUUCGGCGCGCGCUUCGGCGCCGCCGAGGACACUUAAACUCUUUGUUUUUAUAAGCAUUUCUGAGUGGCCGAAAGGCAAAAAUACAAAUGAAUCAAAACUUUCAACAACGGAUCUCUUGGUUCUGGCAUCGAUGAAGAACGCAGCGAAAUGCGAUAAGUAAUGUGAAUUGCAGAAUUCAGUGAAUCAUCGAAUCUUUGAACGCACAUUGCGCCCGCCAGCAUUCUGGCGGGCAUGCCUGUUCGAGCGUCAUUUCAACCCUCGAGCCCGACUCUUUUGAGGACGGCUCGGCGUUGGGGGACGGCAGACUCCCCCCGGCAUCUCGCCGGGGACGCCGCCCCCGAAAUCUAGUGGCGGCCCUCCGAGGCGACCUCUGCGUAGUAACUUGUUCUCGCACCGGAAAGCUCAGAGCGGCCACGCCGUAAAACCCCAACUUUUUUCAGGUUGACCUCGAAUCAGGUAGGACUACCCGCUGAACUUAAGCAUAUCAAUAAGCGGAGGGAAAAGAAAACGGA